UACGGAGGGUGCAAGCGUUAAUCGGAAUUACUGGGCGUAAAGGGUGCGUAGGCGGUUGUUUUAAGUCUGUUGUGAAAUCCCCGGGCUCAACCUGGGAAUGGCAAUGGAUACUGGGCAGCUAGAGUGUGUCAGAGGAUGGUGGAAUUCCCGGUGUAGCGGUGAAAUGCGUAGAGAUCGGGAGGAACAUCAGUGGCGAAGGCGGCCAUCUGGGACAACACUGACGCUGAAGCACGAAAGCGUGGGGAGCAAACAGGG
rnacentral:rRNA from 1 species